rnacentral:rRNA from 1 species
AUUAAUAACUCCAUUGAAUUUUAUUAAUCUCUUUUGUGGUGGCACAAAAUCGGAAGCCCCGACUGUUUACUAAAAACACAGCUAUCUGCAACGAUGUAAAUCAUAGUAUAGGUAGUGAGGUUUGCCCGAUGCCAUUAAUAUAAGAGAAGUGAUGGGUAACUGUUAAUUAUCGAAAAUCUGGUUAAUAGCGGUCUUAACUAUGAGGAUCCUAAGGUAGCAAAAUAAAUUGGCCAUUAAAUGUGGUCCGGUAUCAAUAAUUUAACGAUGGCUUCACUGUCUCUACAACUUGCUCAGUGAAAUUGAAUUACCCGUGCAGAUGCGGGUUG